GUAGCUGGUCUGAGAGGACGAUCAGCCACACUGGGACUGAGACACGGCCUCCUACGGGAGGCAGCAGUGGGGAAUUUUGGACAAUGGGGGCCUGAUCCAGCAACGUGUGCGAAGAAGGCCUUCGGGUUGUAAAGCACUUUUGUCAGGGAAGAAAUCCUUUGGGCUAAUACCCCAGGGGGAUGACGGUACCUGAAGAAUAAGCACCGGCUAACUACGUGCCAGCAGCCGCGGUAAUACGUAGGGUGCAAGCGUUAAUCGGAAUUACUGGGCGUAAAGCGUGCGCAGGCGGUUGUGUAAGACAGGUGUGCCCCGGGCUUAACCUGGGAAUU
rnacentral:rRNA from 1 species